rnacentral:rRNA from 1 species
GACGAACGCUGGCGGCGUGCCUAAUACAUGCAAGUCGAACGAAGCUGUUUUAACUGGUGCUUGCACCGACUUAAACAACUGAGUGGCGAACGGGUGAGUAACACGUGGGUAACCUGCCCCAAAGCGGGGGAUAACAUUUGGAAACAGAUGCUAAUACCGCAUAACCACAGAAACCACAUGGUUUCUGUGUCAAAGAUGGUUUCGGCUAUCACUUUGGGAUGGACCCGCGGCGUAUUAGCUCGUUGGUAAGGUAAUGGCUUACCAAGGCAAUGAUACGUAGCCGAACUGGGAGGUUGAUCGGCCACAUUGGGACUGAGACACGGCCCAAACUCCUACGGGAGGCAGCAGUAGGGAAUCUUCCACAAUGGACGAAAGUCUGAUGGAGCAACGCCGCGUGAGUGAAGAAGGUUUUCGGAUCGUAAAACUCUGUUGUCAGAGAUGAACGUGUGCGAGAGUAACUGUUCGUGCAGUGACGGUAUCUGGCCAGAAAGCCACGGCUAACUACGUGCCAGCCGCCGCGGUAA